GGCGGCAAAUGAUGACAAUAAUCUUAUCCUACACACUGAAUUGUAAUGUAGACCACAACUCCACUGAUUAUCUGAUGAUGCCUUC